AAGCGAAAGUGACGGUACCUGCAAAAGAAGCACCGGCUAACUAUGUGCCAGCAGCCGCGGUAAUACAUAGGGUGCAAGCGUUGUCCGGAAUUAUUGGGCGUAAAGAGUUCGUAGGUGGUUCGUUACGUCGGAUGUGAAAAUCUGGGGCUCAACCCCAGACCUGCAUUCGAUACGGGCGAGCUAGAGUUUGGUAGGGGAGACUGGAAUUCCUGGUGUAGCGGUGGAAUGCGCAGAUAUCAGGAGGAACACCAAUGGCGAAGGCAGGUCUCUGGGCCAAUACUGACACUGAGGAACGAAAGCGUGGGGAGCGAACAGGAUUAGAUACCCUGGUAGUCCACGCCGUAAACGGUGGGCGCUAGUUGUGGGG
rnacentral:rRNA from 1 species